rnacentral:rRNA from 1 species
UACGUAGGGUCCGAGCGUUGUCCGGAAUUAUUGGGCGUAAAGGGCUCGUAGGCGGUUUGUCGCGUCGGGAGUGAAAUCCAGGUGCUUAACACCUGGCCUGCUUUCGAUACGGGCAGACUAGAGGCAUUCAGGGGAGAACGGAAUUCCUGGUGUAGCGGUAAAAUGCGCAGAUAUCAGGAGGAACACCGGUGGCGAAGGCGGUUCUCUGGGAAUGUCCUGACGCUGAGGAGCGAAAGUGUGGGGAGCGAACAGG